rnacentral:rRNA from 1 species
AGAGUUUGAUCCUGGCUCAGGAUGAACGCUGGCGGCGUGCCUAAUACAUGCAAGUCGAGCGAAUGGAUUAAGAGCUUGCUCUUAUGAAGUUAGCGGCGGACGGGUGAGUAACACGUGGGUAACCUGCCCAUAAGACUGGGAUAACUCCGGGAAACCGGGGCUAAUACCGGAUAACAUUUUGAACUGCAUGGUUCGAAAUUGAAAGGCGGCUUCGGCUGUCACUUAUGGAUGGACCCGCGUCGCAUUAGCUAGUUGGUGAGGUAACGGCUC